GUGCAGCAGGCGCGAAACCUCCGCAAUACACAAAAGUGUGACGGGGCCAUCCCGAGUGCCGUCCGCUGAGGACGGCUUUUCCCCAGUGUACACAGCUGGGGGAAUAAGGAGAGGGCAAGCCUGGUGUCAGCCGCCGCGGUAAUACCAGCUCUCCGAGUGGUGGGGACGCUUAUUGGGCCUAAAGCAUCCGUAGCCGGCUGGGCAAGUCCUCCGUUAAAUCCAACGAUUCAAUCGUUGGGCUGCGGGGGAUACUGUCCAGCUUGGGGGCGGGAGAGGCCGACGGUAUUCCCGGGGUAGGGGUGAAAUCCUAUAAUCCCGGGAGGACCACCAGUGGCGAAGGCUGUCGGCUAGAACGCGCCCGACGGUGAGGGAUGAGAGCUGGGGGAGCGAACCGGAUUAGAUACCCCCGGUAGU
rnacentral:rRNA from 1 species